GACGAACGCUGGCGGCGUGCUUAACACAUGCAAGUCGAACGGAAAGGCCCUGCUUUUGUGGGGUGCUCGAGUGGCGAACGGGUGAGUAUCACGUGAGUAACCUGCCCUUGACUUUGGGAUAACUUCAGGAAAGUGGGGCUACUACCGGAUAGGAGCUCCUGCUGCAUGGUGGGGGUUGGAAAGUUUCGGCGGUUGGGGAUGGACUCGCGGCUUAUCAGCUUGCUGGUGGGGGAGUGGCUUGCCAAGGCUUGGACGGGUAGCCGGCCUGAGAGGGUGACCGGCCACAUUGGGGCUGAGAUACGGCCCAGACUCCUACGGGAGGCAGCAGUGGGGAAUAUUGCACAAUGGGCGGAAGCCUGAUGCAGCAACGCCGCGUGCGGGAUGACGGCCUUCGGGUUGUAAACCGCUUUCGCCUGUGACGAAGCGUGAGUGACGGUAAUGGGUAAAGAAGCACCGGCUAACUACGUG
rnacentral:rRNA from 1 species